rnacentral:rRNA from 1 species
CGUUCGGAACGGACGCUAAUACCGCAUACGUCCUACGGGAGAAAGCAGGGUUACCUUCGGGCCUUGCGCUAUCAGAUGAGCCUAGGUCGGAUUAGCUAGUUGGUGAGGUAAUGGCUCACCAAGGCUACGAUCCGUAACUGGUCUGAGAGGAUGAUCAGUCACACUGGAACUGAGACACGGUCCAGACUCCUACGGGAGGCAGCAGUGGGGAAUAUUGGACAAUGGGCGAAAGCCUGAUCCAGCCAUGCCGCGUGUGUGAAGAAGGUCUUCGGAUUGUAAAGCACUUUAAGUUGGGAGGAAGGGCAUUAACCUAAUACGUUAGUGUUUUGACGUUACCGACAGAAUAAGCACCGGCUAACUCUGUGCCAGCAGCCGCGGUAAUACAGAGGGUGCAAGCGUUAAUCGGAAUUACUGGGCGUAAAGCGCGCGUAGGUGGUUUGUUAAGUUGAAUGUGAAAUCCCCGGGCUCAACCUGGGAACUGCAUCCAAAACUGGCAAGCUAGAGUAUGGUAGAGGGUAGUGGAAUUUCCUGUGUAGCGGUGAAAAUGCGUAGAUAUAGGAANNGGAACACCAGUGGCGAAGGCGACUACCUGGACUGAUACUGACACUGAGGUGCGAAAGCGUGGGGAGCAAACAGGAUUAGAUACCCUGGUAGUCCACGCCGUAAACGAUGUCAACUAGCCGUUUGGGAGUCUUGAACUCUUAGUGGCGCAGCUAACGCAUUAAGUUGACCGCCUGGGGAGUACGGCCGCAAGGUUAAAACUCAAAUGAAUUGACGGGGGCCCGCACAAGCGGUGGAGCAUGUGGUUUAAUUCGAAAGCAACGCGAAGAACCUUACCAGGCCUUGACAUCCAAUGAGCUAAUNCACUAGUNGAAUUCGC